GGGGAUGUUUUGGAUUUGACAGGGUGAUUGAUUAAAUCAGGCUGCGAGUCCGAGCGCUGUUCUCGGUUAUCAACGAGCAAACCAAUUUAAACGCUGAAAAUAACGUUGUAGAUGCAACUGCAGCUUUCGCUGCACGUAGAGCUCCUGAAGCUCUUGCUGCCUAAUUUACGCAGUAUGCUACCCAUAGGUUGUCCACCUUACCGAUGUCUAUGGGCCACCAUGCAAGGACAAGGUUAAGAUAGCGGUAUUAACCCCAAGUUAACCGCCGAAGGUUAGUCGUUCCGCAAAAACGACUUUGGUAAAUGCUUUGGUUUAGUAUUUUCCCAACAUUUAUUAAGAUAAAUAAGAUACUACGCCCGUAGAUGUUUGCUUUAAUCCAUUUUGGACGUGGGUUCGAAUCCCACCAUCUCCACCA
rnacentral:tmRNA from 1 species